rnacentral:rRNA from 1 species
GAUGAACGCUGGCGGCGUGCUUAACACAUGCAAGUCGAACGAAGCACCUUGAUUUGAUUCUUCGGAUGAAGAUCGUGGUGACUGAGUGGCGGACGGGUGAGUAACGCGUGGGUAACCUGCCUCAUACAGGGGGAUAACAGUUAGAAAUGACUGCUAAUACCGCAUAAGACCACAGCACCGCAUGGUGCAGGGGUAAAAACUCCGGUGGUAUGAGAUGGACCCGCGUCUGAUUAGGUAGUUGGUGGGGUAAUGGCCUACCAAGCCGACGAUCAGUAGCCGACCUGAGAGGGUGACCGGCCACAUUGGGACUGAGACACGGCCCAAACUCCUACGGGAGGCAGCAGUGGGGAAUAUUGCACAAUGGGGGAAACCCUGAUGCAGCGACGCCGCGUGAGCGAUGAAGUAUUUCGGUAUGUAAAGCUCUAUCAGCAGGGAAGAAAAUGACGGUACCUGACUAAGAAGCACCGGCUAAAUACGUGCCAGCAGCCGCAGUAA